rnacentral:rRNA from 1 species
GCAUACGACUUGGUGCCUGGAGUGGCGCGAGUCAGAAAUGCUCAGGCGCGAUAGGAUGUGGCUGCGGCCGAUUAGGUAGACGGUGGGGUAACGGCCCACCGUGCCAAUAAUCGGUACGGGUUGUGAGAGCAAGAGCCCGGAGACGGUAUCUGAGACAAGAUACCGGGCCCUACGGGGCGCAGCAGGCGCGAAACCUUUACACUGCACGCGAGUGCGAUAAGGGGACUCCAAGUGCGAGGGCAUAUAGUCCUCGCUUUUUCCGACCGUAGGAUGGUCGGCGAAUAAGUGCUGGGCAAGACCGGUGCCAGCCGCCGCGGUAAUACCGGCAGCACGAGUGAUGACCGCUAUUAUUGGGCCUAAAGCGUCCGUAGCUGGCCACGCAAGUCCAUCGGGAAAUCUCUCCGCUCAACGGAGAGGCGUCCGGUGGAAACUGUAUGGCUUGGGACCGGAAGAUCCAGAGGGUACGUCUGGGGUAGGAGUGAAAUCCCGUAAUCCGAGACGGACCACCGGUGGCGAAAGCGCUCUGGAAAGACGGAUCCGACGGUGAGGGACGAAAGCUCGGGUCACGAACCGGAUUAGAUACCCGGGUAGUCCGAGCUGUAAACGAUGUCUGCUAGGUGUGACACAGGCUACGAGCCUGUGUUGUGCCGUAGGGAAGCCGUGAAGCAGACCGCCUGGGAAGUACGUCUGCAAGGAUGAAACUUAAAGGAAUUGGCGGGGGAGCACUACAACCGGAGGAGCCUGCGGUUUAAUUGGACUCAACGCCGGACAUCUCACCAGCAUCGACAGUGUGCAGUGAAAGUCAGUGUGAUGAGCUUACUGGAGCCACUGAGAGGAGGUGCAUGGCCGCCGUCAGCUCGUACCGUGAGGCGUCCUGUUAAGUCAGGCAACGAGCGAGACCCGCACCCUUAAUUGCCAGCAACACCCUUGAGGUGGUUGGGUACAUUAAGAGGACUGCCAGUGCCAAACUGGAGGAAGGAACGGGCAACGGUAGGUCAGUAUGCCCCGAAUGUGCUGGGCUACACGCGGGCUACAAUGGUCGAGACAGUGGGAUGCUACGCCGAGAGGCGACGCUAAUCUCCGAAACUCGAUCGUAGUUCGGAUUGCGGGCUGAAACUCGCCCGCAUGAAGCUGGAUUCGGUAG